AUUGAGCCGAUUCAUGCAGCUCUGAACUUGUUUUGUUGGUUGUCAUCUAACCAUCGAUCGGUCCGUGCUUCGGUGCUUGUGCCAUGAUUUUGCAUCAUCACACCGGCGAUGGUUAGAUGACCAUCAGCAAACAUGUUCGUGAGACAUGCCGUGCGUCCUGAGCU